rnacentral:lncRNA from 1 species
ACAAGUGUGCCCAGCUUUUCAGGAAAGGAAUUCUGGGGCCGGACUGGCGAGGAAGGCAAGGUGGCGAGAGAAGCUUAGCCGGCGAUACUGGCUCCCUCUCGCCAGGGUGGAUGGCCCCUUUCUACAGACUUGGAAAUCGAUGUGUUCGGUGUUCUAACUCUGCCUGCCUCGGUAAAACCAAGAAUCCUCCGUUUAGUUCACAGCUCAGACAAAGAUCCUGGGUCUGUGUGCCAGAAUUUGGUCACCCGGGCACUGGAGGUGUGGUGAGGAAGCUCCCUCCCUGUGGGCGUGCCCGGUCCAGGGAGGGAUCAGAGUCUGCAGGACGUUCCCGAGGCACAGAGGGAAGAUGAAAACGCCAGAGGAAGAGCCUUUCUCUGCAGUGGCAUUGGAAGGUGCAAAGAGCUACCCCGGAAACGAGGCACAACUCGCCCGGCUGCCGGUGCAGGAACCGCUCCCACCCCGGACCCCGAAUCCAGGAUCCCGCACCCCGCACCCCCACGCCGCACACACAGUACACGCCCGGCCGGCGGAGGGCUGCCAAACUCACGUUUUGCCCUGUUACGACUCUCCCGAUCCUCAUUAAAAAAAUAAAAAGAAAGAAUAAAAUAAAAACUCCCUUUAUUGUGCUC